GUCCAAGGGGGUUGGUAGAAGAGUGGUCUAUACCGUUGGUUUUCGACUGCUACGACCCGGGAUCGAAUCCCGUAUUGGACA